rnacentral:rRNA from 1 species
UACGUAGGCAGCGAGCGUUGUUCGGAGUUACUGGGCGUAAAGAGUGCGUAGGCGGUUUUCUAAGUUUGGUGUGAAAUCUCCCGGCUUAACUGGGAGGGUGCGCCGAAAACUGGAAGGCUUGAGUAUGGGAGAGGUAAGCGGAAUUCCUGGUGUAGCGGUGAAAUGCGUAGAUAUCAGGAGGAACACCUGCGGUGUAGACGGCUUACUGGACCAUAACUGGCGCUGAGGCACGAAAGCGUGGGUAGCAAACAGG